rnacentral:lncRNA from 1 species
UGAUGGGGACACAGAAUGACACCAAGGGGACACUAUGGGGCUGGUGGUGACCCCAUGGUGUCCCCGUGUCCCCGCGGUGCCGUUACCUGCCGCUCGGGGUCCAUCCGGAGCAGCACAUGGACGGCCACCAACACGCGCUGUCCCUGCGCCAUGAUCCCCGCAUGGCACCGCACCGCCACGCAGCUGGUAUUGCCACAGUGACUGACGCUCCCCUCCUCAUCCCAUCGCUGCGUCCCAUUGUGUCGCCCCACAUCGUGGGGUUCAGGUUCUGGUUCUGGUUCUGGUUCAGGUUCUGGUUCUGGUUCUGGUUCUGGUUCUGGUUCUGGUUCUGGUUGUGUCCCCUCCUCCUGUGGCAGUGGGCCCCGCUCAUCCCGGUUCCCCCCGCUCCAUCCCACCCCCGUCCCCUGGUGUCACCCUCACAUUGUCCGGUUCCGGGUUCGUCCCACACUCGAUCCCUCCCUCGGUUCCGAUCUCCACCACGUGGAUCCACACGCGGCCACCGACAACGACAGGGACGCGGAUGUUCAUGGUGACGUUGGUGACGGUGCCCGGUCCCUUAUUGUGCAGCUGUGGGGCGGACAUGGCGGCGCUCAGAGCCGCUUUGGGGUCGUGUCCCCCCCAUCCCCCCCGGUUCCAUCCCGUACCUGGUAGACGUGCUCCACCCGCACCCCGCGAUGCUCCGUCUGGUUGUCGUCCCCAUCCUGGCUCCAUUCGGUGGGCAGCAGCGCGGUGGCGGGCAGCGACAUGCUGGGGGCACACGGGCACAUGUUGGGGAUGUUUGGGGACGUUUGGGGUCCCCACCCGGCCCCGCAGCCCCCGGCCUCACCCCCGCAGCUCCAGCUCCGCGUGCGCCUCCACGGGGACCGAGACGGCCACGGUGAUGGGGCGGCUGUUCUGACUGCGGGGAAUGAGCAGUGAGUGGGUCUGCAAUGGGGACAGUAUGGGGAUAGAAUGGGGAUAGAAUGGGGAUAGAAUGGGGACAAUAUGGGGACAAUAUGGGGACAGAAUGGGGAUAGAAUGGGGACAGUAUGGGGACAGUAUGGGGAUAGAAUGGGGAUAGAAUGGGGAUAGAAUGGGGAUAGAAUGGGGAUAGAAUGGGGAUAG